UUCUAUGUCAUGGAUGUGGACUAUCAGAGUAUUUAUGAAAAAGGAAUCAUGUAGAAAAUGGUGACUUCAUCCUCCGAGCAGAUCUCCGCCAACCAACAUCCAUAUCAACAGCCACACUCAGAUCAACUCCAGCAACCCUCCGUUACAGAUACCCCUUCUUUAACAAACCAUCUCCCCUGCCCGAGCAUCUUACCUCCACCCCGGCCUCCCCCAUAUCAAAAAUCCUUCAAAGACCAGCUCCUAAACUCCAUACAGAUUGAUUUUAAUAGCCCGCACCCUGCCGAAGCAACAUAUGUCAACCCCUCCGUUGCCGCAAACAUCUCAAACCUUGCGUCUACUGUCACUGCCUCUAAUACUACACUUUCCAUAAGCUUUCCUGACUCUCUCCGGGAAAGACUUAGGACUCCCUGGAACCUCACUCUCAUAGCAAAACCUUUGGGAAAAAGUCUGGGUUUCAAGUAUUUUGAUUUAAACAUCAGGCGCGUCUGGAAAACUGCAGGCCCUUUCUCUACUUUGGAUCUUGGUAGAGACUACUUUGCAGUCAAAUUUUCAAAUCCGGAAGACUUCCAUAAAAUUCUCACUGGGGGACCAUGGUUCAUCAACAAAACCUUUAUCACUAUCAGAAAGUGGAGCCCUUUUUUCAACGCUUUGGAAGCUAUAUCAAAGACCACAGCCCUCUGGAUCCGACUCCCAGGCCUUCCUCUCGAAUUCUAUGAUGCGGAAGCGCUCAGCCUUAUUGGCAACAAGAUUGGCAAACUAAUAAAGAUUGAUGCUAUAACAGCUAACACCGAGAGAGGACGGUUUGCUAGAUUAUGCGUUGAAGUGGAUCUUACUGAUCCCAUACCCACAGCCAUCGAGUUAGACAGUUACAUCCAACCAAUCCUAGUAGAAAACUCUUCCUUUUGUUUCGGCUGUGGCAAAUUGGGCCAUGACCAAGCCUGCUGCAUAAAACUUCCCCUUCUACAAACUGCGGCACCGGCAAAGUCAUCAGAACCGGGAUGGUCACACAUUCCGACCAAAUCCAGGAAAAUAGCUCCGGGGAACAAACGUCACCCACCUUCUAACGGUACACUUCUUUCAAAUUCAAACCGCCGCUCAAAGCCCAAUACUCCUGGUCAACCCAGCCAAAAUACUUUUAAUGCGGCCCUUUUGUCAAAUCCUAAAGUCAGAACCCUUUGGAAGAAAAAACCUCUACUGUCAAACAAGAGGGAUCCAAACCCUUUUUCACCUCUCAAACAGGUCAUAGAUCCAGAUGCCUUUUCUCCAACCCCCAAUAAAUCCAAUACCAUUCACGAUCCCCUCUCUCUCCAUACUUUCCCUUCCACUGAACCUCUGGCUUCUACGAUCUCCCAAACAAGUCGACCAGAGAAUACCAUUCACCAAAAUGGCAAGAGCACAAAUGGGUUCUCUGUUAUCAAGAGCACAAUUUCUCACAACCCCUCUCCCACAACCCCUUCAAAACCCACACAAACUAGGAACCGCUCUACAUCUGAAUCACCUCACUUGCCAAACUACUCCAAACUCCCUCUGUCUUUUUUUCGCUGAUGGAUUCCCGCCCUUCCACCCCAUUGUUUCGCAGGACAAGGUGGUCCCCUCGUCACUUCCACCCAUAGGAGGAUGGCACCCAACAGAGCAGGAGCAACCCACCUUUCCAAUCACUCUACAACCUUCCUCAACCCCUUCUUCCCCAAGCUCCCCAACUAAAUCAUCUCUAUCGGGACGAGGAAUGGAAACUAAUUUGCUCACAUCGAGUCAUCGACCCACUUCUCUUCCUGAACCCACACCUUUCGUGGGAGAAUGUUCACCAGUCCCAGGACCAACACAGUCUGGGAAGGAUCCAGAUUUGGGCAACCCAAACAAGAAUUGCAUACAUAACAGACCUCGAUCCAGAAGAGAGGAUAGCGAGAAGGAACCAAGCUCUGCGAAGAGGGCGAGACGGAAGCCAUCUUGGCCAACAAAACCAAGCUCGUCCCUCAAACAACUUCGUUCAAUCUUCAAGAAACAGACACCCACCACCCGAUCAAACCCACCAAAGAGCCUGGAGACGGAGGAACAAUCAAGCUGCGCAUCCUCCGAGGAAUCAACUGAGACAAGGUGUCCGGGAAGCCACGGCCUCAAGCCAAGGUGCAGAACAAAGUCGAAUGCCGACUCCAGAAACCCGAAGGGAAAUUCUCUCCAUAUCUCCCUUAUCGGUUACUCUGCGAGACUGUCAAAGCUCAGUCACUAUCAUCUCGCCCGUAAGAGAGGUCUUAGCCAUAAAAAUCUUUCUAACUGCCAUAGAAUUGCUAAGCCCAGAGGCCCGAGACCAUUCGCUGGUACUAAGACCAAGGUUCAGCCGAGAGCUAAGCUUUCCAGACAAUAUCCACGAUGGCAACUCCAGCCACCGUACCAGAGCUCUGAGUCCUCCAGAGCCCAUGAUGCAGAACCCCUUCCUAGACUCCAUGAAGCUUCUCCUAUGGAAUGUUAGAGGAGCAGGCCACCCGGGGUUCAGGAACCAUUUUCUCCAGUUAGUGCAAGAGCACCAUCCGGGCAUAGCAAUCCUGGUGGAGACGAAACUCCACGGUGAGAGAGCCAGAGAAAUUUGCAGCAACUUGCCUUUUGACAAUUUCACUGUUGUAGAUGCAAUCGGCUUUCGUGGUGGCAUGUGGAUACUCUGGAACAAAGCUGAGAUCGUUUUGAACCCCAUCUCCAAUCUCUCUCAAGUGAUCCAUGCCUCUAUCCAGAUGCCUGCUUUCGCAGCUCCAGCAUGUUAAACUCAGGCAUGUUUACCGUGAGGCCAACAGAUGUGCAGAUGUCUUAGCGAAAUUGGGCAGCAAGCUGAAUCAAAAUUUUAUGAUUUUUGAAUCAUGUCCUCGAGAACUCCUUUUUGCUUUUGAUGAGGACACCAGGGGCAUCUGUUAUCCCCGUAGCAUUAGGACAGUUCUGUAAUAGCCAGGGGAACUUUUGAUUGCUUUUAUUUAUAUUACGCCGUUUACACCAAAAAAAAAAA